UAUUUAAAAAAAAUAUUUGUAAUUUGAAAAGUUAACAUCGACAAAUAUUUAAAUAAUUAACAUAAGGAGGUAUAGUAUUAUAAUAUUAAAUUAUAUUUAUUUAAUUUAUACUAUUUGUAAAUUCAAUAUUGAUAGUUCAAUAAAAAUUUCUGGUAGACCCAAAUUUUAAAUGAUACGAUUAGAGAUUAAAUGUAACAUGAAUUUUUAAGAAUAGACUGAUUAGGUCUAUUUUUUAAAAAAUCACAUAUGAAUCAAUGUUGUGAGUUUUGUUUUAAUAUAUAAGAUCCAAAACAUUUUGAAUUUUCUUCCAAUUCAUGUAUCUCUAAGUUUAUAAAUCAUUACAAAAACCACAGAAUAUCAUCUGUUCUCCAUAGAGACCUUCGAUCCACACAAACCUAAACUUUAUUUUCUUCGCCUACGUUCAUGGACGGUAGCGGCGGCUUAUACUGAGAUGACAGAAGGUUUAGGCGGUUUAUACUGAGACGACAGAAGGUUUAGGCGGUGUUUCCUCCACGGCUUCAUCCAUCCUUCGAUUAUGCAUGUUGGUGGCGAGUGUGCUUACGUCAUCGUUUGGUAAAAUUUUCUGACUUAAUUUCAAAAUCGUUUAGCCUAUUUUCUCUUAACCUCCAAUUCAGAAAAUGAAGCGCCUACGUUAAUUGGAUUGGUGAAGACGCCGAAUUUGAUCCGCUGAAAAAUUUCCAUUAAAGCCAUACCUUAUUGUUCCAUACAAAUGAAGUUAGUACAAGUUCACAAUCUCUCCUCAGAAGCAACACAGCAUGAUAUAAAAAAAGUGGAGGAUACUCUCUGAAGCUAUAGCCAAGUGUUGUCCAAAGCUAGAAAGGUAGAGAUAUGGUUGGUCUCAUGAUCCUGACCCGCAUUGUCUCACAUGUGGCUCAUUCUAAACAUGGGAAUGCAUGUUGCUUACGCUGUAAGAACAGAAGAAACUACAUAAGAAAUCUCUUCCACAACUGAGAUUAUUGUGAGGUAAUGAUGACUAUGGAAACACCAAGGGGUUUAGAUUAUGUAGAUAAUCCAGAGAUUGGAAUGAAUGCUACUAGAGAAAGCAAAGAUGCUAUCGAAUAAGAAAUCCAUGGUUUAUGUAUGGUUUUCGUCACAGUAUGUCAUUUAUCACUAUUCAAUCCUUUUCUUAGUUAUAUGACAAUUAUGAGUUUAUUGUGUUCUUUAAGUUCACUGGCUAAAUAGUUCUACUGUUCUAUGCUGGAGAAGUGACCAACAAACACAGACAAGGCUCCGGUAAUAGUAGGUGUUGCAAAGGAAAUGUCUACUACAUUGCUCAUAAAUAAAAAAAAAGUGUCAUUAUUUACUUUACUUUUAAAGACAAAUUAAAGCUGAAUUUACACUUCUUCUAUCAUGAAUAUUUAAAAAACCUUAAUCUAUUGUUUGCUUUACUUUUGAAAUCGAUACUAUUAUUUACGAAGUAAGUUUUUGGAAUCGAGCUCUCACGUUAAAAGUUAGAAUGGUUAAUAUCGUUUAUACCAUUAAUGAAUAAAAUAUAUAACUAAAUUAAAAAAUAAAAAUGAAAUUUUAAUUUAUUUAUUAGAUAAAUGAUUAAAAUUAAUAAUAGUAAGAAUUAUCCAAAAUCUGAAAAUAUAAUUUUAAAAAGAGAUAAUUUAU